rnacentral:rRNA from 1 species
ACGACCUACGGGGCGCAGCAGUGAGGACUCUUGGUCCAUGGCCGGAAGGCUGAACCAGCCAAGCCGCGUGAAGGACGAAGGUGCCAAGCAUUGUAAACUUCUUUUGUCAAGGGACAAAAUCAGGCUCGAGAGCCUGACCGAGGGUACUUGAAGAAAAAGCAUCGGCUAACUCCGUGCCGGCAGCCGCGGUAAUACGGAGGAUGCGAGCGUUAUCCGGAUUUAUUGGGUUUAAAGGGUGCGUAGGCGGACUGUUAAGUCAGCGGUAAAAGCCCGGGGCUCAACCCCGGCGAGCCGUUGAAACUGGG